UACAGAGGUGGCAAGCGUUGUUCGGAAUUACUGGGCGUAAAGGGCGCGUAGACGGCUAUCUAAGUCGGGUGUGAAAGCCCCGGGCUCAACCUGGGAAUUGCAUUCGAGACUGAAUAGCUAGGGUGCGGUAGAGGGAAGCGGAAUUUCCGGUGUAGCGGUGAAAUGCGUAGAUAUCGGAAGGAACAUCAGUGGCGAAAGCGGCUUCCUGGACCAGCACCGACGUUCAGGCACGAAAGCGUGGGGAGCAAACAGG
rnacentral:rRNA from 1 species